UGUCAGACUUCUGUAAACUAAAGCUGGGCUGCUGUGGUUGCUUCAUAAGAACUUGUGUUUGUUGCUCUGAUGUGAGAAUUGAGAAUGUUCUGUGGUGCAAAACCAACAUUACUUUUGAGUGAGGAAUGAUGCCCGAUUUAGAGAAAUUCACAGGCUCUGUUUUUACCUCAAUUGAUUUUUCAUUUAAUGAAAAUCAUGACAAUGUGCUAGAUGCACCUAAAUAAUAAUCUCACGAAUAAAAAUGUUCAUUUUUACUGGCAACAUUCUUGAUGAGACUUCUUUUUGAGAUAUCUCAGCUCCAGUGUAAAAAAAAAUCAGUUUCUUCUAUACCUACACUGUCACUUGUGUUUGUGGAGAGCUAGGGUAAUGCAGGAGGGAAUCUUCCCCAACAACUCACAGCUGUACUGGUUACCAAAGAAGAAACAUCUGUGCCUGGCCAGUCAGUUUGUCAGGCUAUAAAGGAGCAGGCCAGCUUCCCAAGAGUCAGAGGCACUUGCAGUUGGAAUGCAGAGGGUUCAGAAGGCAGCUGGGUGUGCUGAGAGGAGCCAAGGGCUGGAUAAGAUGCUGUUCAGAUACUGCUUUGGACAACAGUGCUCAAGAGGAAGAUCCAUAUUUAGGGAUGCAUUUUCAGUCAAUUCUGCUUAAAUGGAGUAGGUGCUUCAACACGAGAUCUUCCUGGAUCUUCCAGAGAAUGAGCAGAAUUAUGUAAAGCUUCAGUUCUUCUAUCAAGUAGUACUUGUGACAAUAUCAACCGAUUACUCAUCUGGAGUGUUGUCUACAGAUUCCGUGGCCCAGCUAGAAAACCUGCUUUAUAGACCAAUGAUGAAAUGGUUGAAUGCACCCAAAUAACCUAAGACCCUACCUGAAAAAGAAAUAAAAAAUAAUUAGGAUUCUAAAUGUAAUUGAAAAUAUUUCUGCCUUCUUUUGCUUUAUUUGCUCUGCUAGAUUUAAAUCCAGGGAUUUAAAAUAUGCAUGUUUUCCAUAUUGUCUCACUAUACCCUGGAGAUGCUCUGUGUAAGCUGUUUUUAAUUAGAUUUGUGGUUAAAAGAAACUGCCUUUGUACUAGUUGAGCAACUGAUGUGUUGAAUAAUUUUAAUGGCACUCUUUCUAUUCUGUGUGUGUGAUCAUUUACAAUUUUUUUCCACCCUAUAAAAAGACAACCAAAAUUAGCUUCAAUUAAUAGAGGUGUGAUACUGGUGUGAUUCUGAUCUCACACAUUGUAGAUGGGAAUCAGCUAGUGAAGAAACACCUGAAAAGUGAAUUAACUUAAGAUUUUUAAUUUACCUAAAAUUUAGGAUCGCUUCCUAAAUUAUUUUCCUUUUGGUUAUAAAUAAUUUUCCUUUUGGUUAAACCCUUCAGAUGUGGGCAGUUCAGCACACAGAUAUGUUUUUCCAUUUGCACAGUAUACCUUUCCCAGAGGAAAGUUUGGCAGUAUCUUGCUGGGCUGCUAGUGUUUUGGCCAAUCCUGGCUUUGGACCAUGAUCUGGUAUCUCAUUUUGGAUCUGUGUAAUGUGAUGAUAAAAGAGAGGAAUUCUUAGCCUUGGCCUAAUGCACUCUGUUUGUUUAAUGAUGUGAUAGAGUAAUGUCAUGUCCAUAUUGAAGCUAGUCAGUGAUGACUUCAUUUGAGAUGGGACCAGCCUUAGGCUACAAAAGAAGGCCAGCCAGAUAUUUUGGAGUUUUUUAAUAGAUCACAAGAUUUUUGAAGGUAUCUUUAGCACCCAGAUGCAGUGAAGGACUUUUCUUCCUAACCUCUGUUCUAUGUCUGACUAUAUGACAUUAAAAACCAAAAAAUCCCACACUCCUCCUUGCCCCAAGUUAAUUCUCCAGGCUGGAUAUUUAGAAAUUGGGAAUCUGUACUAAAUUUGGAAACAAGGUAUUUUGAGUGUAGAAAGACAUAGUUUUUCAAUAACUGAUGAAAAUCAAAAGCUAGAAUAUCCUACUACUUACUAGUGAGAAACUGGAGAUGUAGUUUUUUGAAAGAAUUUUUAAAUAGGGACUGGAAUUUAGUACAAAAAUAAAAAAAGAAAGAUUAAUCACAGAAUGUUUUUUUUUUCUCUUUCCCAAACUAAAUCCUGAUGACUCAUUUCAUUAACUUUUUUUUGGGAAAAGCUAGCUGUUAAUUUUUGCCACUGUAAGGAAUAGUAGACUGGUAUGAAAUAAGAUAUUUGUAUUAUAGAUGAAGACCAUAGAAAUGGUGCAGUAUAAUGACAGGUGCAUCAACUUGAGCUGAAGACAGUGUGAAUCUUUGUGUCUGUUUCCAUGCUCAUGAAAAGGAUGUAUUUUUGGGACUUUUCAAGAAUUUUAGUGUCUCUCUCCCCUUUGCCAGUAGUGAUAUCUUGCCUGCAAUAACAAGGUGAAAAUACACCUGUGAUUUUUGCUUCUUUUUUUCUACUGGUUAUUGUGUGACAUUUGCAAGCUCAGCAAGUCAUGUGUUUUCAAAAUAAUAGAUUUGUAUGGUAUUUUAAAAGGAGCAAUGGCUUCAGUCUGAUUUGGAGUGGGUGACCAUGAGACUGAAAGAAGAAUUUUUUUUUUCUAUAAAAAACUACCAUACCGUAGAUGACUUUCAAUCAAUCAAACUAACCUAUUAAACAAAUUUGCUGACACAGGUGGUAACUGGUUUCUGCCAAACAUCCACAGAGAAAGUGACUUCUGUCAUCACAACAUGACACAGAAUAGACUGCCUUGUGCAUUUCCUUUGUGAAGGAGUCAGGCGAAUAUCUUUGUAAUGCUGUUGAAGAAGAGAUUACAUCUCCUCACCUGAAUUGGUAGCUGUCAUAAGGUUUUCCAAAAACUAUAACAUAAAUCUUAGUUUUUGAUGAUUUCUGAGAUUGAAUUCAGUUGAGCUGAAGCCUUUAUUGCAUUGAAUCGCAAUGAGAGUCAAGGACCAACGGA
ensembl:lncRNA